ACGUAGGGGGCAAGCGUUGUCCGGAAUCAUUGGGCGUAAAGCGCGUGUGGGUGGCUUGGUAAGUCCGGUGUGAAACCUUGGGGCUCAACCCCAAGCCUGCAUCGGAUACUGCCUCGCUCGAGUUCGGGAGGGGAGAGCGGAAUUCCUAGUGUAGCGGUGAAAUGCGCAGAUAUUAGGAAGAACACCGGUGGCGAAGGCGGCUCUCUGGAACGAUACUGACACUGAGACGCGAAAGCGUGGGUAGCGAACAGGAUUAGAUACCCUGGUAGUCCACGCCGUAAACGAUGAGCACUAGAUGUGGGCGGUUUCGACUCCGCCCGUGUCGCAGCUAACGCAUUAAGUGCCCCGCCUGGGGAGUACGGCCGCAAGGCUA
rnacentral:rRNA from 1 species